AGCAGCCGCGGUAAUUCCAGCUCCAAUAGCGUAUAUUAAAGUUGCUGCAGUUAAAAAGCUCGUAGUUGAAUUUCGGGACUAAUAUGUCGGUCGUGCCUCGGUACGUACUGGUUUAUUGGUUUCUCCUUUCUGAAGAACCAUGAUGUCAUUUAUUUGGUGUCGUGGGAAUCAGGACUGUUACUUUGAAAAAAUUAGAGUGUUUAAAGCAGGCUCACGCUUGAAUACAUUAGCAUGGAAUAAUGAAAUAGGACGUUUGAUUCUAUUUUGUUGGUUUCUAGGAUCGACGUAAUGAUUAAUAGGGAUAGUUGGGGGCAUUAGUAUUCAAUUGUCAGAGGUGAAAUUCUUGGAUUUAUUGAAGACUAACUACUGCGAAAGCAUUUGCCAAGGAUGUUUUCAUUAAUCAAGAACGAAAGUUAGGGGAUCGAAGACGAUCAGAUACCGUCGUAGUCUUAACCAUAAACUAUGCCGACUAGGGAUCGGAUGAUGUUAAUUUUUUAAUGACUCAUUCGGCGCCUUACG
rnacentral:rRNA from 1 species